rnacentral:rRNA from 1 species
CCUACGGGAGGCAGCAGUGGGGAAUUUUGGACAAUGGGCGCAAGCCUGAUCCAGCAAUGCCGCGUGAGUGAAGAAGGCCUUCGGGUUGUAAAGCUCUUUUGUCAGGGAAGAAACGGUCUUGGAUAAUACCUGGGGCUAAUGACGGUACCUGAAGAAUAAGCACCGGCUAAGCUACGUGCCAGCAGCCGCGGUAAU